CAAGGCAGCCGCGGUAAUUCCAGCUCCAAUAGCGUAUAUUAAAGUUGUUGUGGUUAAAAAGCUCGUAGUUGAACCUUGGGCCUGGCUGGCCGGUCCGCCUCACCGCGUGUACUGGUCCGGCCGGGCCUUUCCCUCUGUGGAACCCCAUGCCCUUCACUGGGCGUGGCGGGGAAACAGGACUUUUACUUUGAAAAAAUUAGAGUGCUCCAGGCAGGCCUAUGCUCGAAUACAUUAGCAUGGAAUAAUAGAAUAGGACGUGCGGUUCUAUUUUGUUGGUUUCUAGGACCGCCGUAAUGAUUAAUAGGGACAGUCGGGGGCAUCAGUAUUCAAUUGUCAGAGGUGAAAUUCUUGGAUCUAUUGAAGACUAACUACUGCGAAAGCAUUUGCCAAGGAUGUUUUCAUUAAUCAGGAACGAAAGUUAGGGGAUCGAAGACGAUCAGAUACCGUCGUAGUCUUAACCAUAAACUAUGCCGACUAGGGAUCGGGCGAUGUUAUUUUUUGACUCGCUCGGCACCUUACGAGAAAUCAAAGUGCUUGG
rnacentral:rRNA from 2 species